rnacentral:rRNA from 1 species
UGGGGAAUAUUGCACAAUGGGCGCAAGCCUGAUGCAGCGACGCCGCGUGGGGGAUGACGGCCUUCGGGUUGUAAACUCCUUUCGCUAGGGACGAAGCUUUUUGUGACGGUACCUAGAUAAGAAGCACCGGCUAACUACGUGCCAGCAGCCGCGGUAAUACGUAGGGUGCGAGCGUUGUCCGGAAUUACUGGGCGUAAAGGGCUCGUAGGUGGUUUGUCGCGUCGUCUGUGAAAUUCCGGGGCUUAACUCCGGGCGUGCAGGCGAUACGGGCAUAACUUGAGUACUGUAGGGGUAACUGGAAUUCCUGGUGUAGCGGUGAAAUGCGCAGAUAUCAGGAGGAACACCGAUGGCGAAGGCAGGUUACUGAGCAGUUACUGACGCUGAGGAGCGAAAGCAUGGGUAGCGAACAGG